rnacentral:lncRNA from 1 species
GUCUAACAGUAAUGUUAUGCGCAGGCACAGAGGCAUCUUUGGCACCGAGUGGCCUUGAGCUCCUGCUCGCAGCUGUGGACUGCAUUGAUGGCACUGUGCCCUCUUGCGCAACAAAGUCUCCAUUCCAGGAGGACACACAUAAUGUUACCUGCUGCUCGGAUGUAGACUCUACUAGCCCUAUGCUGCAGAGAUCACAGCAGGGUA